CGCGGGGUGGAGCAGCUCGGUAGCUCGUCGGGCUCAUAACCCGAAGGUCGUCGGUUCAAAUCCGGCCCCCGCA
rnacentral:tRNA from 1 species